rnacentral:rRNA from 1 species
GGAGUAUGGGCCGUGUCUCAGUCCCAUUGUGGCCGGUCACCCUCUCAGGUCGGCUACACAUCCUCGCCUUGGUGGGCUGUUAUCUCACCAACUAGCUAAUGUGCCGCAGGUCCAUCUAAAAGUGUUGCAAACGCAACUUUCAAACGGGAAUCAUGCGAUUCUCGUUGUUAUCCGGUAUUAGCCAAACUUUCGUCUGGGUAUCCCAGUCUUAAAGGCAGGUUACCUACGUGUUACUCACCCGUUCGCCGCUAGGUAGCAAGCUACCUCGCUCGACUUGCAUGUAUUAGGCACGCCGCCAGCGUUCAUC